UGGAGCAUGUGGUUAAUUCGAAGCAACGCGAAGAACCUUACCAGGUCUUGACAUCCCGAUGCUAUUCUAGAGAUAGAAAGUUACUUCGGUACAUCGGUGACAGGUGGUGCAUGGUUGUCGUCAGCUCGUGUCGUGAGAUGUUGGGUUAAGUCCCGCAACGAGCGCAACCCCUAUUGUUAGUUGCCAUCAUUCAGUUGGGCACUCUAGCGAGACUGCCGGUAAUAAACCGGAGGAAGUGGGGAUGACGUCAAAUCAUCAUGCCCCUUAUGACCUGGGCUACACACGUGCUACAAUGGUUGGUACAACGAGUUGCGAGUCGGUGACGGCGAGCUAAUCUCUUAAAGCCAAUCUCAGUUCGGAUUGUAGGCUGCAACUCGCCUACAUGAAGUCGGAAUCGCUAGUAAUCGCGGAUCAGCACGCCGCGGUGAAUACGUUCCCGGGCCUU
rnacentral:rRNA from 1 species